rnacentral:rRNA from 1 species
CAAUAGCGUAUAUUAAAGUUGUUGCAGUUAAAAAGCUCGUAGUUGGAUUUUGGGUCGGGGGCACCGGUCCGCCGUUCCGGUGUGCACUGGUGGCCCCUUCCUUUCUGCCGGGGACGUGCGUCGCACUUAAUUGGGUGGCGUUCGGAGUCGGCGUUGUUACUUUGAAAAAAUUAGAGUGUUCAAAGCAAGCCAUCGCUCUGAAUACAUUAGCAUGGAAUAACAUGAUAGGACUCCGGUCUUAUUUUGUUGGUUUCCGAGACUGGAGUAAUGAUUAAGAGGGACAGUCGGGGGCAUCCGUAUUUCAUUGUCAGAGGUGAAAUUCUUGGAUUUAUGAAAGACGAACUUCUGCGAAAGCAUUUGCCAAGGAUGUUUUCAUUAA